UCGUUUUUGAUGUUUUUUUGUUUUCUCUAACAAAUUUUUUUACAUUUUUUUUUUUUUUGCCAUUUUUUCCACCUUCCACAGAAUGGGGCCCAGGAGAGUAGACAGCAUUGGGUUGGCGGUGUAUGUGGAGCAGGGGGAGAAGUUGCAAUAGGGCCUGCUCAGUGCCAGAACCCUUAACUAUCUCUAAUCAGUGCCGGGCCCCAGCCUCCCCCAUUAUUUUUUUCAAAUGGAUCAGUCCAAGCCUGCACACGCCCACACUUUUGCUGAUUGGAGGUGCGCAUGAAUUGGGCGCAUGGUGAAAGGUGGUAUGUCUCUCGUAUCCAGUCGGCCCAGGAAUCACCUCUCAAUCAGGACGGAGUUGGUCGGACCACACUACCAAGCCCAGCCGUGGUAAAACUGUCUGCUCUGCACCACACACACACACUGUAUUAUACACACAGGCUCCAUUACACACACAUGCUGCAUUAUACACACACAUGCUGCAUUAUACACGCACAUGCUGCAUUAUACACGCACAUGCUGUAUUAUACACGCACAUGCUGUAUUAUACACGCACAUGCUGUAUUAUACACGCACAUGCUGUAUUACAUCUGGGGCCCCCCGCCAAAGUUGCUCCAAUUGGGCCCUGCAGUUGGUAAGACUGGUCCUGGGCCUGCUCAGUGGUGCACAUCCUGCGUCCGGGCCCAGCAUCAACUAGUUUAAGGCUGCUGAGAAUCCUCCUGCUCUGCGGCCGACUGGGAUUCCACCUCUCCACCAGGCACCUGAAUUGUCCUAGGUGAGGGCCUCUGAAAGGCAAAUGCUCAUACUCACUAUAAAUCCAAGAGAAACAAGAAGUACAACUUGAACCAAGGUCCAGUGUGUUUGAAGAACCUUAGAAAUCACUACCACACAGUCCUGAAAGAGGUAUAUCUGCUGAAUCUAUGACUUGAAACUUCAGCUGACUGACCGAGUGUCCCAUUUGUUUGAAAUGUGGAGGGACCGGCAGUGCUGUGAGGCCCUUUCGUAUGGUGGACUUGUGUUUGGAAAUGCGAUCUCUAAUUUUUUGUGUUGUUUCACCAAUGUAGAGGAGGCCACAAGGACACUUUAAUAAAUAGAUCACAAAUGAUGAUUUGCAAGUGUUGUAUUUCUGUAUUGUAUAUUGUUUGCCAGAGUGAGGGUGGUGAAAAUAAUUGCCUUUAAUCACUGAGUUACAUUGUGUACAGUGUAAACAGGGGAAUGUGCCAAAUUUAGGUUUCUGUAAAAAUAUAUCAACUCAACAGCUUCACCUUAAGGUUAUUUAUUUAUUGACUGAGGUGC